rnacentral:rRNA from 1 species
GACGAACGCUGGCGGCGUGCCUAAUACAUGCGAGUAGAACGCACAGUUUAUACCGUAGCUUGCUACACCAUAGACUGUGAGUUGCGAACGGGUGAGUAACGCGUAGGUAACCUGCCUGGUAGCGGGGGAUAACUAUUGGAAACGAUAGCUAAUACCGCAUAAUAUUAAUUAUUGCAUGAUAAUUAAUUGAAAGGUGCAGUUGCACCACUACCAGAUGGACCUGCGUUGUAUUAGCUAGUAGGUGAGGUAACGGCUCACCUAGGCGACGAUACAUAGCCGACCUGAGAGGGUGAUCGGCCACACUGGGACUGAGACACGGCCCAGACUCCUACGGGAGGCAGCAGUAGGGAAUCUUCGGCAAUGGACGAAAGUCUGACCGAGCAACGCCGCGUGAGUGAAGAAGGUUUUCGGAUCGUAAAGCUCUGUUGUAAGAGAAGAACGGGUGUGAGAGUGGAAAGUUCACACUGUGACGGUAUCUUACCAGAAAGGGACGGCUAACUACGUG